AUUGAACGCUGGCGGCAUGCCUUACACAUGCAAGUCGAACGGUAACAGGUUAAGCUGACGAGUGGCGAACGGGUGCGCAAUGUAUCGGAACGCGCCCAGUCGUGGGGGAUAACUACUCGAAAGUGUGGCUAAUACCGCAUACGACCUGAGGGUCACAGCGGGGGACCGUAAGGCCGCCCGCGGUGUGAGCGGCCGAUAUCAGGUUAGCUCUUUGGUGGGGUAAAAGCCCACCAAGGCGACGAUCUGUAGCUGGUCUGAGAGGACGACCAGCCACCCUGGGACUGAGACACGGCCCAGACUCCUACGGGAGGCAGCAGUGGGGAAUUUUGGACAAUGGACGCAAGUCUGAUCCAGCCAUGCCGCGUGCGGGAAGAAGGCCUUCGGGUUGUAAACCGCUUUUGUCAGGGAAGAAACGAGUUUCUCUAAUACAGAGACUUAAUGACGGUACCUGAAGAAUAAGCACCGGCUAACUACGUGCCAGCCGCCGCCGUAAUAC
rnacentral:rRNA from 1 species